AAAGGUGGCCUCUGCUCGCAAGCUAUCGCUUCUGGAUGGUCUCGCGUCCGAUUAGCUAGUUGGCGGGGUAAUGGCCCACCAAGGCGACGAUCGGUAGCUGGUCUGAGAGGAUGGUCAGCCACACUGGGACUGAGAUACGGCCCAGACUCCUACGGGAGGCAGCAGUCGAGAGGCUUCGGCAAUGGGGGAAACCCUGACCGAGCGACGCCGCGUGGGGGAUGACGGCCCUUGGGUUGUAAACCCCUUUCGACCGGGAAGAAUGAUCGCGUGAAUACUCCGCGAUUUGACGGUACCGGUAUAAGAAGCUCCGGCUAACUCCGUGCCAGCAGCCGCGGUAAUACGGGGGGAGCGAACGUUGUUCGGAAUCACUGGGCGUAAAGGGCGUGUAGGCGGUUCGGUAAGUGGAAUGUGAAAGCCCCCGGCUUACCCGGGGAACUGCAUCCCAUACUGCUGGACUUGAGUGCGGGAGAGGAUGGAGGAAUUCCUGGUGUAGCGGUGAAAUGCGUAGAUAUCAGGAGGAACACCUGUGGCGAAGGCGUCCAUCUGGCCCGUUACUGACGCUGAGGCGCGAAAGCUAGGGGAGCAAACGGGAUUAGAUACCCCGGUAGUCCUAGCCGUAAACGGUGGGCACUAGGUGUUGGAGGCAUUGACCCCUCCAGUGCCGCAGCUAACGCAUUAAGUGCCCCGCCUGGGGAGUACGACCGCAAGGUUGAAACUCAAAGGAAUUGACGGGGGCUCACACAAGCGGUGG
rnacentral:rRNA from 1 species